UGUGCAGAAGCUGCAGCUAUAUCUCACAACUAACAAAAUCAUUGCAAGCUCAAGAAAAUCUCCAACCAACAUGUGCAGUAUAUUGACAUUUGCACUCCUGUUGGCUAUCACUACCACACUAAGUCUUGCAUCUGCAAGUCCGGUAUCGAAAAGAAAAAGCAGGAAUGUUUGGAUUGGAGGAGAGAUCCCGGCUUGCAAGUGUCAUGCACUCCCAAAGGAAGUGAGUGACUACUGUGGCCAUAGCACCACUAUACUUCCAAAUGCUAGAGGACAUACAACCAUUGAUCAAGCACUCGGUGAAUUCGAUGAUUUCACACAACUAUUAACGGAUUCUCCUUGCUCCGAUCAUCUUGGACCACUGCUAUGCUUCCAUUACUUCCCUUUUUGGGAGUGCACGCCUGAUACAGCAGUAGAAUGUGAAGAGAGAGUUUUGCCUUGCAAUGACACCUGUAUAGCUGCUAAAACUGAUCAUGAUGCAUCAUGUACUGUUCUUGUGAACUCGUCACCGGUCUCAGGCUGGGCUAAUCAUCUCGACUGUGAUAAAAAUAAGAGUUUUCCAACAUAUAUUCCUGAGGCCAUGCGUAAUGAAAACUAUACACAGAAAGUGUGCGCUAACACUUCUGUUACAAUCAAAAAAAACUUCAGAGUACUAACAACGAAAGUAGUCCCACCUGCAUCAUCUACACCUAAACCAAAGGUUACACGUCCAACUAAAGCUCCCACAACGGAAGCCCCACCUUCAUCAACUACACCUAAGCCAAAGGUUACAAGUCCAACUGAAACUCCCACAACGAAAGCUCCAUGCAAAUGUCUCAAAUGCAACAUCAGAAAUUCUGCAAAUGCUAAUAGUUUCACCAGAAAUAUAUAUACCUACGCUAUUAGAGCAACUAUCACUGAGCAGACGGAUUGUAACACUUACCAAAUGACAGUUCACGAGUCGUUUGAUGUACACACAUGCAAUGGUCCUGUAAGGCAAGCUUCAAUUACAAUAGAAACGGGUACAGCAACACUUCAUACUAAUGGUCAUUGCUCCAACCUUAUGGCCAAGAUGAACACGCCUGUGCUUAUAGCAGGAACACACGUUGAAACAGUUGGAAAUGGUUAUGAAUUGCACCUUGGUUGUACUAAGCAAAGUGGAUUGAUUGCAGAUUGGAUUUCUAAGUUUAUUAAAAAGCUGAUCGAUUGGAUUGCUAAAAGAACAUGUCCUCCUCCUUCUCCUAAGUUCUAACGGUGAACAUCUCUUACCACCAUGAAACAAGCUUCUUUAUUUUUGUCUAAAUCAUUGUCUACGACAUGUAUAAUUAUAUCAGUUUAUACUACAUUAAACUUUAUACUCUAGUAUGACAGUACAUUCCUCUG